rnacentral:rRNA from 1 species
UACAGAGGUGGCAAGCGUUGUUCGGAAUUACUGGGCGUAAAGGGCGCGUAGGCGGCCUUCUAAGUCAGACGUGAAAUCCCCCGGCUUAACCCGGAAACUGCCAUUGAUACUAUCUGUCUUGAAUACCGUGGAGGUGAGCGGAAUAUGUCAUGUAGCGGUGAAAUGCUUAGAUAUGACAUAGAACACCAAUUGCGAAGGCAGCUCACUACGCGAAUAUUGACACUGAGGCACGAAAGCGUGGGGAUCAAACAGG